rnacentral:misc_RNA from 1 species
GAAUGAAGAACGUAGCGAAAUGCGAUAAGUAAUGUGAAUUGCAGAAUUCAGUGAAUCAUCGAAUCUUUGAACGCACAUUGCGCCCGCUGGUAUUCCGGCGGGCAUGCCUGUUCGAGCGUCAUUUCAACCCUCAAGCUCUCCGGAGUUUGGUGUUGGGGCGCCUGGGGCUUUUCGACCUCAGGGCCCUCAAGUCCAUCGGCGGGACCGCCAGGACACUGAGCGCAGUAGUAUUAUUUCGCUCGGUAGGAUCUUCCACGGCGGGUCGAUCUGGCCGCUAAACCCCCCAAUUCUCACCAAAGGUUGACCUCGGAUCAGGUAGGAAUACCCGCUGAACUUAAGCAUAUCAAUAAGCGGAGGA